rnacentral:rRNA from 1 species
UCUUUUAGAUUCGAAGCGGUUAGUGGCGGACUGGUGAGUAACACGUAAGGAACCUGCCUAUUAGAGGGGGACAACAGUUGGAAACGACUGCUAAUACCGCAUAAUGCAUUUUGACCGCAUGAUCGAGAUGCCAAAGAUUUAUCGCUGAAAGAUGAGCUCGCGUCUGAUUAGCUAGUUGGUAAGGUAACGGCUUACCAAGGCGACGAUCAGUAGCCGGACUGAGAGGUUGAACGGCCACAUUGGGACUGAGACACGGCCCAGACUCC